GUGGGGAAUAUUGGACAAUGGGCGCAAGCCUGAUCCAGCCAUGCCGCGUGAGUGAUGAAGGCCUUAGGGUUGUAAAGCUCUUUCACCGGUGAAGAUAAUGACGGUAACCGGAGAAGAAGCCCCGGCUAACUUCGUGCCAGCAGCCGCGGUAAUACGAAGGGGGCUAGCGUUGUUCGGAAUUACUGGGCGUAAAGCGCACGUAGGCUGAUAUUUAAGUCAGGGGUGAAAUCCCGGGGCUCAACCCCGGAACUGCCUUUGAUACUGGGUAUCUUGAGUAUGGAAGAGGUCAGUGGAAUUGCGAGUGUAGAGGUGAAAUUCGUAGAUAUUCGCAGGAACACCAGUGGCGAAGGCGGCUGACUGGUCCAUUACUGACGCUGAGGCGCGAAAGCGUGGGGAGCAAACAGGAUUAGAAACCCUUGUAGUCC
rnacentral:rRNA from 1 species